rnacentral:rRNA from 1 species
GCAUAUCAAUAAGCGGAGGAAAAGAAACUAACAAGGAUUCCCCUAGUAACUGCGAGUGAAGCGGGAAGAGCUCAAAUUUAAAAUCUGGCGGUCUGUGGCCGUCCGAGUUGUAGUCUGUAGAGGCAUUUUCCGCGUUGGACCGUGUACAAGUCUCCUGGAAUGGAGCGUCAUAGAGGGUGAGAAUCCCGUCCAUGACACGGACUGCCAAUGCUCUGUGAUAUGCCUUCGAAGAGUCGCGUUGUUUGGGAAUGCAGCGCAAAAUGGGUGGUAAAUUCCAUCUAAAGCUAAAUAUUGGCGAGAGACCGAUAGCGAACAAGUACCGUGAGGGAAAGAUGAAAAGCACUUUGGAAAGAGAGUUAAACAGUACGUGAAAUUGUUGAAAGGGAAACGCUUGAAGUCAGUCGCGUCUCGUGGAACUCAGCCUUGCUUCGGCUUGGUGUACUUUCCAUGUGGACGGGUCAACAUCAAUUUUGGCCGGUGGAUAAAGGUGGGAGGAAUGUAGCGUUGUUUCGACGACGUGUUAUAGCCUCUUGUUGUAUACACUGGCUGGGAUUGAGGACUGCAGCACGCCCUUGUGGCCGGGGGUUCGCCCUACGUACCGUGCUUAGGAUGUUGGCAUAAUGGCUUUAAGCGACCCGUCUUGAAACACGGACCAAGGAGUCUAACAUGCUUGCGAGUGUUCGGGUGGAAAACCCUUGCGCGUAAUGAAAGUGAAAGUUAGGAUCCCUCGCAAGAGGGUGCACUGACGCCCGGCCCUGACGUUCUCUGACGGUGCUGCGGUAGAGCAAGUAUGUUGGGACCCGAAAGAUGGUGAACUAUGCCUGAAUAGGGCGAAGCCAGAGGAAACUCUGGUGGAGGCUCGUAGCGAUUCUGACGUGCAAAUCGAUCGUCAAAUUUGGGUAUAGGGGCGAAAGACUAAUCGAACCAUCUAGUAGUGGGUCC